rnacentral:rRNA from 1 species
UGGGGAAUUUUGCGCAAUGGGCGAAAGCCUGACGCAGCAACGCCGCGUGGAGGAUGAAGGUGCUCUGCAUUGUAAACUCCUGUCGGCCGGGACGAAUUGGCGGGGUGCUAAUCAGCUCCGCCUUGACUGUACCGGCAAAGGAAGCCCCGGCUAACUCCGUGCCAGCAGCCGCGGUAAUACGGAGGGGGCAAGCGUUACUCGGAAUUAUUGGGCGUAAAGGGCGCGUAGGUGGUUCUGUGCGUCGGAGGUGAAAUCCCCGGGCUUAACCCGGGACCUGCCUCCGAUACGGCAGAACUUGAGUCCGGGAGAGGGGAGCAGAAUUCCCAGUGUAGCGGUGAAAUGCGUAGAUAUUGGGAGGAAUACCAGUGGCGAAGGCGGCUCCCUGGACCGGUACUGACACUGAGGCGCGAAAGCGUGGGUAGCAAACAGG